rnacentral:rRNA from 1 species
UACAGAGGGUGCGAACGUUGUUCGGAUUUACUGGGCGUAAAGGGCGCGUAGGCGGCACCGCAAGUCGAUUGUGAAAUCUCCGGGCUUAACCCGGAAAGGUCAACCGAUACUGCGGGGCUAGAGUGCAGAAGGGGCAACUGGAAUUCUCGGUGUAGCGGUGAAAUGCGUAGAUAUCGAGAGGAACACCUGCGGCGAAGGCGGGUUGCUGGGCUGACACUGACGCUGAAGUGCGAAAGCUAGGGGAGCAAACGGG